rnacentral:rRNA from 1 species
UACGGAGGGUGCAAGCGUUAUCCGGAUUCACUGGGUUUAAAGGGUGCGCAGGCGGGAAAUUAAGUCAGUGGUGAAAGCCUCGAGCUCAACUUGAGAACUGCCAUUGAUACUGAUUUUCUUGAAUAUAGUUGAGGUAGGCGGAAUACAACAUGUAGCGGUGAAAUGCAUAGAUAUGUUGUAGAACACCAAUUGCGAAGGCA